UCAGUCAAAAACCAAUCUUCAAGUCUUCACACAGUACUUUUUGUCGGGUGUAGAACCCCAUUCCUUUCUUUCUCUCUCUCCAUGUCUCAGAAAUUUCUUGUCUGUCUUCUCAGUUAUCACCAUCUAUCACUUUCUGAUUUCACCUUUCUUCAUUAUCACACACCUUACAGGCUUACACAAGAAGUAACCAAACUCAACAUUAACUUACACUCCCAAACAGUGUCUCUUUCACACUAUUAUUCACUGUUCAAUUCAACUACACCACCACUUUCUUUUCCUGCAUCACAAACAAACACGAGCUUAAUAAAAGCCAUGCAGUGA